GAGUGUAUAGCUCGGUGGCAGAGUGCGUGCUUAGCAUGCACAAAGUCCUGGGUUCAAUCCCCACUACCUCCA
rnacentral:tRNA from 1 species